UACAGAGGAUGCAAGCGUUAUCCGGAAUGAUUGGGCGUAAAGCGUCUGUAGGUGGCUUUUUAAGUCUGCCGUCAAAUCCCAGGGCUUAACCCUGGACAGGCGGUGGAAACUACCAAGCUGGAGUACGGUAGGGGCAGGGGGAAUUUCCGGUGGAGCGGUGAAAUGCGUAGAGAUCGGAAAGAACACCAACGGCGAAAGCACUCUGCUGGGCCGACACUGACACUGAGACACGAAAGCGUGGGGAGCAAACAGG
rnacentral:rRNA from 1 species